rnacentral:lncRNA from 1 species
AGGAAUCCAUACAAAUAAAGUUUGAGUCCUAAUUCUUAAUACAAAAUUUAUGGUGAAUUUCUAAAGUCAGAAUAGAGAAUUUAGAAAUUGCUCUAACCCUGUUUCAGAAAAACGUAAAUAUCUCAUAAAAUACAACGCUUUUACCUAUUUUGUUUCUUCCAUAUAAAAAUAGAUUCAUUAAGCUUCAAUUACAUAUUUUAUUCAUCAUCUAAUUCACUUUAUACUAUUUUUGGUAUAUUUUCAAAGUUGGACUACUGUUACUGUCCAAAUCUGUUU